GCCACUACUCAAUAAUAUUACUUCUUGAAAUUUCAUACUUAUUUAGAUGUUUUCAUUGUAUCUGUAAGCUGUAUUCACUUUUUUGUAUGUUUUUGUGAGGUAUGAAGAAGACUUACUUCGGGGUAAAAAAGAAAAGGGAUAAAAAUUAAAGCCCAGUUUGGAUUGGAUGCCUUAAGUUAUGUUGCCACUAAAAUAAAUAGUUUGUUAUUUGUCAUUGAUAGAAGUAUAUUAGUCUCUUUAUUUGUAUAUACACAAUAAUCACUUUGUAAUACUAUUUCUUUUAUGUGACAAACUAUGCAUAUAAUUUCCAAUUAUCCAUUAUUAUACAUUAGGUGAAAACCGGUUCUCAUUAUAUAAUGUAUACAUGAUAAAAGUGUUGCAUUAGUUUUAUUCAAUUCCUCUGCUGAGAAGAUACUGUGUGAAAUAGUAGGUGGAUAAAGGGCCUUCUUGCAUUACUCUGGUCACGAAAUCUACUAUGGAAGGUGGCAAGGUGAAUAAUGACCACUUGGUUUCUUGAUUGCUAUGUAUGUGAGAUAUGGAGAAGGCUUUCUCUAAAAUUUCUAUUGUUCUAUCUGCAUAAGCUGGGUUGGAAUUGAUCUAAUUUGUUCUGGUGGGAGAUGGGGUAGAGCAUUGUAAGAUUUUUUAUCUUUGCUAGGAGUUAGCUAGCAUGUAUGUUUAGUUUACCUUUCUCUUUGUAUCCUUUCUAUUUCUUUGUAUUGAGAUUGAAAUGCCCUUUUACUUCUAUCUAAUGAAUUUGUCUUAUAAAAAAAAUACAUGAUAAAAUGGUGAAACUUACUUCUUUAUAUAGCCAUAUGAAACUGUAUGAGUAAAUGUCUAUUUAUGCUCCAUUUUAUCCAACACUAAUCGCAUUACGAAUAUAUCUUAUAUUUCAUAUUGCAGGCAUUGCAAGGAGCACUACUCAGCAGUACAUACACUGUACUUGACAAUGCACAAACUGGAUUGAUUGCAGCAUAUUUCUUCUAUAAAGGCCAAAAAAUUGAAGAUUGAAGCAAUCAUUCGGAAAUCAAUGAUCAGGAAGUACCGGGGUGAAAUUGCUUAGGGAAAGGUCUAUAAAAUUAUCUAUUUUGUCUUGGUGACCAAUGGUGGAGUGGGGUUGGCCAACCUCACAUGAAUUCAAGAUACUCUUCAAUGACAGGACAAGGAUAGUCCCUGAUGAAUCUGCUCCUAUUUUUUGUGUACCUAAAUCUUUUAUUGUGGUGAUGAUAACACAGUGUGAUAGUGAAUAAUAAAAAGGCGUGAAGGUGGUUCUAUAACUGGGGGGAUUAACACAUUUGCUAUAUAGAAAUUUUUUUAGAGUCAAACACUUCAUAUUGCACAAUCUUGGAGCUAUUCUUGGUUCCAAGACAAAUGAUUAUAAUUCUUUA